rnacentral:rRNA from 1 species
AUUGAACGCUGGCGGCAGGCCUAACACAUGCAAGUCGAGCGGAUGAAGGGAGCUUGCUCCUGGAUUCAGCGGCGGACGGGUGAGUAAUGCCUAGGAAUCUGCCUGGUAGUGGGGGAUAACGUCCGGAAACGGGCGCUAAUACCGCAUACGUCCUGAGGGAGAAAGUGGGGGAUCUUCGGACCUCACGCUAUCAGAUGAGCCUAGGUCGGAUUAGCUAGUUGGUGGGGUAAAGGCCUACCAAGGCGACGAUCCGUAACUGGUCUGAGAGGAUGAUCAGUCAUACUGGAACUGAGACACGGUCCAGACUCCUACGGGAGGCAGCAGUGGGGAAUAUUGGACAGUGGGCGAAAGCCUGAUCCAGCCAUGCCGCGUGUGUGAAGAAGGUCUUCGGAUUGUAAAGCACUUUAAGUUGGGAGGAAGGGCAGUAAGUUAAUACCUUGCUGUUUUGACGUUACCAACAGAAUAAGCACCGGCUAACUUCGUG